rnacentral:rRNA from 1 species
GAUGAACGUUGGCGGCGUGCCUAAUACAUGCAAGUCGAGCGAACAGACGAGGAGCUUGCUCCUCUGACGUUAGCGGCGGACGGGUGAGUAACACGUGGAUAACCUACCUAUAAGACUGGGAUAACUUCGGGAAACCGGAGCUAAUACCGGAUAAUAUAUUGAACCUCAUGGUUCAAUAGUGAAAGACGGUUUUGCUGUCACUUAUAGAUGGAUCCGCGCCGCAUUAGCUAGUUGGUAAGGUAACGGCUUACCAAGGCAACGAUGCGUAGCCGACCUGAGAGGGUGAUCGGCCACACUGGAACUGAGACACGGUCCAGACUACUACGGGAGGCAGCAGUAGGGAAUCUUCCGCAAUGGGCGAAAGCCUGACGGAGCAACGCCGCGUGAGUGAUGAAGGUCUUCGGAUCGUAAAACUCUGUUAUUAGGGAAGAACAAAUGUGUAAGUAACUAUGCACGUCUUGACGGUACCUAAUCAGAAAGCCACGGCUAACUACGUG